UAGCACUUCCCUUUUCACUCUUUCUCUCCUGCUCUGCCAUGUCCUGUUCCUGUUUUCUAUUUGACUUCUUGGAGCAGUACACCUUAUGAUGGAUUGCAAGAAAGUGCAGCACUCUGGGUAUGUUUUCUAUGUCCUUUUAUUUGUUUUUAAGAAUGACCCCAAACUGAGCCAUGAUAGAGCUGUGAGCGUGGAGGGCCCCCGAUGGCAUAAACUCAAAAAGCUAUUGGCCAUGGAAAUCACCAGCCUACUUCAGCCUAAGUUGAAUUAAAGAAAUCCAUAUGUCAUACUUUGGAAACAUCUAGGACUCUCCCUUGGAUCUGUAAGAAGCCCUUCCCCAAGAGAGAGCACAGCAAACUCUCUACCUGCCGUCAGUCAGUCAAGAAUUUACACCUGCAGCCAUUUGGCCUGUUAAGGAACAAACUUCCAUGGACUUUUGCAAAGUUCUGCCUUUUCCAUGAGCCGAUAGAAUUUCUAACAACCAUAUCAUCUACAACGCUGACCUGUGUGAACUCAGGGAAGAGUUUCUGUAUGCAAAUGAGUGGAACGAGCAGUACUUACGAAUAUGAAUGAGAAUGUGGAUUCCGUUAGAGAAUGCACUGGACACAUGGAUCAACUGGAAAUUUCAUUUCUCUAAGAAAGGCACCCUACCAGCAGCACACAGACUGUCCCAGUUCCAGACUGUCUCCAUUCUUUUUACCUGUGAAGAUUCCUCCAUAUUGGAACUGUUUUAUUGUGUCUUUUCUUUUGCAUUGUAACUAGUCAAAUCCUAAGUGACUGGCACUUUGAGGUAGCAAUUAUAUCACUGAGUAAUAUACACCAAUAAAGCAAGAAUUGUACAUUGU
rnacentral:lncRNA from 10 species